rnacentral:rRNA from 1 species
UGACCGAUAGUGAACCAGUACCGUGAGGGAAAGGCGAAAAGAACCCCGGCGAGGGGAGUGAAAAAGAACCUGAAACCGUGUACGUACAAGCAGUGGGAGCCUCUUAAUGGGGUGACUGCGUACCUUUUGUAUAAUGGGUCAGCGACUUAUAUUCUGUAGCAAGGUUAACCGAAUAGGGGAGCCGAAGGGAAACCGAGUCUUAACUGGGCGUUAAGUUGCAGGGUAUAGACCCGAAACCCGGUGAUCUAGCCAUGGGCAGGUUGAAGGUUGGGUAACACUAACUGGAGGACCGAACCGACUAAUGUUGAAAAAUUAGCGGAUGACUUGUGGCUGGGGGUGAAAGGCCAAUCAAACCGGGAGAUAGCUGGUUCUCCCCGAAAGCUAUUUAGGUAGCGCCUCGUGAAUUCAUCUCCGGGGGUAGAGCACUGUUUCGGCAAGGGGGUCAUCCCGACUUACCAACCCGAUGCAAACUGCGAAUACCGGAGAAUGUUAUCACGGGAGACACACGGCGGGUGCUAACGUCCGUCGUGAAGAGGGAAACAACCCAGACCGCCAGCUAAGGUCCCAAAGUCAUGGUUAAGUGGGAAACGAUGUGGGAAGGCCCAGACAGCCAGGAUGUUGGCUUAGAAGCAGCCAUCAUUUAAAGAAAGCGUAAUAGCUCACUGGUCGAGUCGGCCUGCGCGGAAGAUGUAACGGGGCUAAACCAUGCACCGAAGCUGCGGCAGCGACGCUUAUGCGUUGUUGGGUAGGGGAGCGUUCUGUAAGCCUGUGAAGGUGGCCUGUGAGGGUUGCUGGAGGUAUCAGAAGUGCGAAUGCUGACAUAAGUAACGAUAAAGCGGGUGAAAAGCCCGCUCGCCGGAAGACCAAGGGUUCCUGUCCAACGUUAAUCGGGGCAGGGUGAGUCGACCCCUAAGGCGAGGCCGAAAGGCGUAGUCGAUGGGAAACAGGUUAAUAUUCCUGUACUUGGUGUUACUGCGAAGGGGGGACGGAGAAGGCUAUGUUGGCCGGGCGACGGUUGUCCCGGUUUAAGCGUGUAGGCUGGUUUUCCAGGCAAAUCCGGAAAACCAAGGCUGAGGCGUGAUGACGAGGCACUACGGUGCUGAAGCGACAAAUGCCCUGCUUCCAGGAAAAGCCUCUAAGCAUCAGGUAACAUCAAAUCGUACCCCAAACCGACACAGGUGGUCAGGUAGAGAAUACCAAGGCGCUUGAGAGAACUCGGGUGAAGGAACUAGGCAAAAUGGUGCCGUAACUUCGGGAGAAGGCACGCUGAUAUGUAGGUGAAGCGACUUGCUCGUGGAGCUGAAAUCAGUCGAAGAUACCAGCUGGCUGCAACUGUUUAUUAAAAACACAGCACUGUGCAAACACGAAAGUGGACGUAUACGGUGUGACGCCUGCCCGGUGCCGGAAGGUUAAUUGAUGGGGUUAGCGGUAACGCGAAGCUCUUGAUCGAAGCCCCGGUAAACGGCGGCCGUAACUAUAACGGUCCUAAGGUAGCGAAAUUCCUUGUCGGGUAAGUUCCGACCUGCACGAAUGGCGUAAUGAUGGCCAGGCUGUCUCCACCCGAGACUCAGUGAAAUUGAACUCGCUGUGAAGAUGCAGUGUACCCGCGGCAAGACGGAAAGACCCCGUGAACCUUUACUAUAGCUUGACACUGAACAUUGAGCCUUGAUGUGUAGGAUAGGUGGGAGGCUUUGAAGUGUGGACGCCAGUCUGCAUGGAGCCGACCUUGAAAUACCACCCUUUAAUGUUUGAUGUUCUAACGUUGGCCCGUAAUCCGGGUUGCGGACAGUGUCUGGUGGGUAGUUUGACUGGGGCGGUCUCCUCCUAAAGAGUAACGGAGGAGCACGAAGGUUGGCUAAUCCUGGUCGGACAUCAGGAGGUUAGUGCAAUGGCAUAAGCCAGCUUGACUGCGAGCGUGACGGCGCGAGCAGGUGCGAAAGCAGGUCAUAGUGAUCCGGUGGUUCUGAAUGGAAGGGCCAUCGCUCAACGGAUAAAAGGUACUCCGGGGAUAACAGGCUGAUACCGCCCAAGAGUUCAUAUCGACGGCGGUGUUUGGCACCUCGAUGUCGGCUCAUCACAUCCUGGGGCUGAAGUAGGUCCCAAGGGUAUGGCUGUUCGCCAUUUAAAGUGGUACGCGAGCUGGGUUUAGAACGUCGUGAGACAGUUCGGUCCCUAUCUGCCGUGGGCGCUGGAGAACUGAGGGGGGCUGCUCCUAGUACGAGAGGACCGGAGUGGACGCAUCACUGGUGUUCGGGUUGUCAUGCCAAUGGCACUGCCCGGUAGCUAAAUGCGGAAGAGAUAAGUGCUGAAAGCAUCUAAGCACGAAACUUGCCCCGAGAUGAGUUCUCCCUGACUCCUUGAGGGUCCUGAAGGAACGUUGAAGACGACGACGUUGAUAGGCCGGGUGUGUAAGCGCAGCGAUGCGUUGAGCUAACCGGUACUAAUGAACCGUGAGGCUUAACCUU